GUUAACUGGCACAAAGGUAGUGGGGGAGGGGAGGCUAGCAGGAUGUGAGGAAUUUACAUAGUAAACAGCAGCUGACCACAUUGUAGGGGGGGGAGGGAAUAUUUACUCUAGAAGCCAGAUUUAACAUAGUGAACAGAGAAUAAAUAGACAUUAGUAAAUAGCCAUUUUAUUUUAAUUCAUCUGUCCAUAACAGUCCCCCCUUAAAAUGGCAAUUUUUACUAAAACUACUAUCUCUCAUUCUAAUACUGUCCCUAUAGAAAAAUAACAAAAGGCUAUCUUGCACAUCUGUCUGAACAGGCCUCGAACACUUCACUGCGCGGGUACCCCAUAGCAGCUUGUCCACUACUUCUCCCGCGGCAGACUUCUGCCCGUAGAGACAGACGCUAUCCCUAAAUGUCCUUAAGAGGAAGUAGCUGUUGAUUUAGUGCGGUGGGACUGUAAGGGUGUAUGUGGUGUAUCACGGUCGAUAUCGUCAAUCUCUUGGUGAAGGAAGGUCGGGGUGGUCUGGUCGAUUGCCUGAUCAACUGUCUUUUGUAGGCAUUUCUUAAGACAGGGUAACACACAACAAACAAGAAGAGCGAGGAUGAUUAUCGUUAUUAAAAUGGCAACACCUAUUUGGGCCAGAGCACCUUGCCAUUCAGACAUCCAUCCAAACCAUCUUUCCCAUGGAUCUGUGGCCCCAGAAUUUCGUUUCAGUUCAUUGGACAAACUCUUUAACUUUUCUAUUGCCAACGUUACCUUACCAUUAGGGCCUGUAUUAUCUGGAAUAUAGGUACAGCAUGUCAUGGUGUCUGGGAGUAUUUUACAUACUCUCCCUUUUUCUGCUAAAAUCAUUUCCAAGCUUAUUCUAUUCUGGAAGGUCAUCUGAGAGAUAGUU